rnacentral:rRNA from 1 species
GAUGAACGCUAGCUACAGGCUUAACACAUGCGAGUCGAGGGGAAACGACAUCGAAAGCUUGCUUUUGAUGGGCGUCGACCGGCGCACGGGUGAGUAACGCGUAUCCAACCUGCCCACCACUUGGGGAUAACCUUGCGAAAGUAAGACUAAUACCCAAUGAUAUCCCACGAAGACAUCUGAAUGGGAUUAAAGAUUUAUCGGUGAUGGAUGGGGAUGCGUCUGAUUAGCUUGUUGGCGGGGUAACGGCCCACCAAGGCAACGAUCAGUAGUGGUUCUGAGAGGAAGGUCCCCAGCAUUGGAACUGGGACACGGUCCAAACGCCUACGGGAGGCAGCAGUGAGGAAUAUUGGUCAAUGGGCGAGAGCCUGAACCAGCCAAGUAGCGUGCAGGAAGACGGCCCUAUGGGUUGUAAACUGCUUUUAUAAGGGAAUAAAGUGGGUCACGUGUGACUUUUUGCAUGUACCUUAUGAAUAAGGACCGGCUAAUUCCGUG